CCCUUAAAUUAUAGAAAUGUGAUAUUUAGAGGUGAAAAAUGCCCUGCUCAAACGAAUUUACAAUCUAUGGGGAUUUGAGGUAGACAUAUAUAUAUCGUUAGGUGUCUUGCCUAGGGACACUUACUGGUUUGCCAAUGUUCUAACCAGCUAACAGUUAGUUAUAAGUAUCCUUUAAAUUGAUUCUACUGCCUCUGUGGAACCAC